AUGGACGAACACGCCGGCGGCCGCCGCCGCGCCGAUCCGCCUCCGUGGUCUCCCCCGCUUCAGCUUCCCCCAGACGACAUGCUCCUGGAGAUCCUCCUCCGCCUCCCGCCGGAGCCCAUCCACCUGUUCCGCGCCUCCUUCGUCUCCAAGCACUGGCGCGGCCUCGUCCACGACGCCCGCUUCCGCCGCCGCUUCCGCGAGUUCCACGGGGGGACGCCUCCCAUGCUCGGCUUCUUCAACAGCUGCCCAGGGGCUCCCAUCUUCGUCCCCACCUCCGGCGGCUUCGCGCUCUCCACCGCCAACAUGUCCCUCGAUUGGCGGGCCCUCGAUUGCCGCCACGGCCGCGCCCUCCUGCACAACUACGGUACCAGGACGCUCCUCGUCUGGGACCCCAUGACCGGCGACGAGCGCUACCUACCGUUCCCCACGCGAGCCCAUCUGGAGAACGUCCAUUACAAUGGCGCGGUUCUCUGCGCGGCUGGCCACACGGGCCACGGGGACUGCCAUUCCUGCCCGUUCCUCGUGGCAUUCGUGUUCAGCAGCUACAGAUAUUGCAUCACCUCUGCCUGCGUCUACUCGUCCGUGACCGGCGUCUGGGGUGAGAUCACUUCGAUUCAUACACCAGAUUCAUUAGUUGAUGCAAAGCCGACAGCUCUGGUUGGAAACACACUCUACUGCCUGUUGAGUAAUGAGGAUAGCAUCAUUGAGUUUAAUUUGGAUAAGAAUAGCUUGGAUUUAAUUGAGGUUCCAUACGGCGGAAAUUUUAUCAUCACACUGGCACAGGAUGGUCCUCUAGGUUUCGCCAGUGUUGAUCGAUUCAGCCUACAUUUGUGGUCAAGGGUAGCUAGCAUCGAUGGGGUGGCAUCAUGGGAACAUAUCAGGGUCAUUGAUCUGGAGAAGCUUUUUGCGCCACAAGUAUUGGCAGCGUGUAUGGAUCGAAUGUGGCCUGUUGGCUAUGCUGAAGAUGCGAAUGUGAUCUUCAUUCAUGUGUAUCCUCGCACCUACAUGAUCCAUCUCAAGUCCAUGCAGAUUGAGGGGAUUUUAGAGGAAGCAACUGGCUGGUCCAUUUUUCCUUAUGCAAGUUUCUACACUCCAGGACCAGGAAUCACCACUGGUGGUGGAGAUGAUCAAGUUGAACUGUUAAAUGGCACUUGA
rnacentral:rRNA from 1 species